UAUAUAUAUAUAUUUGAGAAAUAGGUAGCAAGCUACCUGCUUCAUUCAUUAAGACUUAGUUUGGUAUUGAGAUCUAUCUAACGCAAUUAGAUAAAAUAGAGUUGAGAAAAAAAUAUGUAGGGAUAUGCUUCUACGUUCUCCGGUGGGACAGCGAAAAAUAUAUCGUAACUGGCUCAUCGCGAUAUUCGGAACGCAAUAUUACGUACGGAAACAAACGGGGUAUUUUCCCAUCGUCGUUUCUCACCACACGUAACGCAAUCUCCCGGUAAUUCCAAACGAAGCCUAAGUAAAAUGAACUGAGCGUACAGAAAUGGAAGCAGCUUGGGCCUCCGAGAAGUACAAAAAAUAAAUGGCAAAGGCAAAAGGGGCAAAGAAGGAGAGAAGGAAGAGGAGAGGGGAGAAGAGUGAAUUUAGUGUCGUUUCAGGUCAGCACGGUCCAGUCGGUCGUAAGAAG
rnacentral:lncRNA from 1 species